GUUCUGUGGCAGAGUCUCCAACUCUGAACGAGGACCCAGUUAGAGCACCCAGAUAUUUAGAGCAACCUGACUUCUUGACUACUCUCAUCCUUCUACAGACCUUUCCUGUGCUUUUGGGUACAAGCCAUUUCCGGGAGUGGACAGGGAGGAGGAUGGUACAGCUGCACUCUCAGCAUCACCCACACACACUCACUGACCACCUGAGAGUAAAAAGAGCUCAUAGACUCUGAAGAAUGAGCACAAGUCAAGGCUUUGGAGGAGGGACAGCUGACUGAUGAAAACGGAACAUGAACCACUCCCCCAAAUCCACCAAAACGGAGCAAAGAAUGGAAAAGGGCCUAAACUGGGAGGAGGACAAAGUGAGCGGAGGAGGACACAGAGGGGAGAGUGCAUGCCUUUGCCCCAGCUAGACAAGGAAGAACAGAGAGACUUGGCCAGACCUUGCUGACCAGGGAAAUUGACCUCGACCCCUUCUGAUUAUUACCUUGGGCUGCAGAAGGGCAUGAAGCUGCCUGGAGGAUAAAGGGCCUG